GCUCACCAAACUCAAUCGAAGACUCGACAGCCAUUUCUCGAUCGCCAAUCGCCGCCCUAGCAUCAUCGCCUCAAACCAAUGUCGCCCAAAAUGGUAGAAGCAAAAACAAUAAGUUUAUUCCUCUAUCUCUGUUUCUAUCCUAUCAAUCAAUACACUGAUGACCACUGCAUCCGAAAUUAAAACAAUGUUUCUAAAAGUGCUGGUACUAAUUUCAAUUUCAAUUUUUUGUGGGUUAAUUAAUAUUGAAAUUGAAAUUUUGAAAUUGGGUUUUUUAAAUCAAGAUCGGAUUUUGGUUUGAAAACAACAAUGAAACAUGGUGGUUCAAUGUUUAUCAUCUUGAAAUACUGCAACGUAGAACUCCUGGGCCGAUGCAGCCCUCCACGUGCGGCAGAUUCACCGUUUGGAAGGGUGUCGCAGUGGUGUAUUUCUCUGCACCAGCGGCACCUAUGGUUCAAAGGUUAUAGUAUCUCUUUUAUUUCAAUGCUCUUUUUAGAGGUGUUUCACUCUUUACGCAGAACUGUUGGACUUAUGCUUUAAUGAUAUUUAGAGCAUAAAGUUGAAUGAAUUGUGUUUUAUGUAUGUAUUCUGCUCCUUGAAGUGUCCAUAUGUCCCUCUAAUGAUUGGUUCUUAUGUGCUUAUAAUUUGUAAUUAUUAGCCAUAAAAUUCAGCAGUUUGAAUAUAAGCAGUGCAGUUUUCACCCUAUUGAUCUAAAUAUUAUGUGAGUGACCGUUGAGUUAUCGUCAUCUAGCAUUCAUGUUCUCUAAGUGAUUUUUGAGUUUACUCCAAAUAAUUUUUAUUUCUAUUCUCUUCGAUGAAUUCUUUAUGCGAUUAUCCAAAUCAUUUUGAUUUAUGUCUUUUAUUUCUUAAUUUUCUUAUAGUUAUUGCAUUUGCUUCAUAGGUACCUGAAUGCGUAUGUUCAUGGGUUUCCUUAGAGGCAUUGAGAUUCUAAGUAUCAAUGUCUCGAAAGGUAUUUAUUGAGUAAUCAUUAAACUUUGUCAUCUUCUCUUCACGGGUUGUCAUUAGAGGCCUUGAAUUCAUUUCUCAUACAUUUGUGUUGUUGGUUUACUCAACUAGAAAUUGAUCCACCUCCCCAUGCCUACAUACCGAUCAGGCUCCAUUUGGAUCCAAAUAAUAUUGGAUGGAAGCUAGAUUUGUGUUUAGUUGUGGAUUUCUUUGAUUAUGAAUAAGCUUCUUCACAUGUUUCAUUUGCAACUUGAGAAGAGGGCUUAUUUUGUAAAGUUAAUUACUUUGAAUUGAAAUUGUGAAUUUAAUAGGAUGUUUGUUUCUUUCUAAUCUUAUUGCAAGCUUAUUUAAUUCCUAGAAAUGAAAGAAUGCCAUGAUAGAGCAAAAAAAUUGAUGGUGUCAUAAAUAUCUUUGCUCUUUACUGUAUUGAAUAAACUCUUUUUCAAUAGCUUCCAAUUUACACAUUUUUCAGUGUUAGAGGAUCAAUUUGUUGUUGCCAUUGCUCAUAUAUAGCCACUCUCCUUUAUUUCCUACUUUUCUCACAUACAAACACACACGAAAAACAUUAUCUAUUAUAUGCAUAUAAGCAUAAGAAUCAUCAUUUUAGCUGACUAUCUUAGACUGGACAAAAAGUAGUUACAAGCACUUAUUCUUAUGUCUUUGUGUUUGUGUUUGUGUUUGUGUUUGUGUGUAUGUGUCUGGUCAAGUUUUGAUUUUUAUGGAUUUUCAAGUUCUUUCAUGAAAUGGGAUUGAUGCACCAGUUUUGAAUUUGAUAAACUUGGUGUCCUUUAUUUUUUUUNAAUCAGAAGGUGAAGGUGAAGAUGAAGAUAAAAAUAUUUGUGGGUGUGUGUAUUUAUGUAUUUGCUUUUGCUGCUGCCUAAGCAUUUGAAUGUGUACUGAUUCCCUGUUUCUGCAGCCUGCACAAUUUCAACAACAUAUUGCAAUUAGGCAUGCAUAGUGAUAGAGAUACGAUCAUAUGAAAUGAUCAAGGAAUUAUGACCUGACACGAGAUGGGCAACCUGUUGCAGCUCCAUAUGGAAGUAGCA
rnacentral:lncRNA from 1 species